rnacentral:rRNA from 1 species
UACGGGGGGAGCAAGCGUUGUUCGGAUUUACUGGCGUAAAGGGCGCGUAGGCGGCCACCGCAAGUCAGUUGUGAAAUCUCUGGGCUUAACCCAGAACGGUCAGCUGAUACUGCGGGGCUAGAGUGCAGAAGGGGCAACUGGAAUUCUCGGUGUAGCGGUGAAAUGCGUAGAUAUCGAGAGGAACACCUGCGGCGAAGGCGGGUUGCUGGGCUGACACUGACGCUGACAGCGCGAAAGCUAGGGGAGCGAACGGG